rnacentral:rRNA from 1 species
AUGACUUGUGGCUGGGGGUGAAAGGCCAAUCAAACCGGGAGAUAGCUGGUUCUCCCCGAAAGCUAUUUAGGUAGCGCCUCGUGAAUUCAUCUCCGGGGGUAGAGCACUGUUUCGGCAAGGGGGUCAUCCCGACUUACCAACCCGAUGCAAACUGCGAAUACCGGAGAAUGUUAUCACGGGAGACACACGGCGGGUGCUAACGUCCGUCGUGAAGAGGGAAACAACCCAGACCGCCAGCUAAGGUCCCAAAGUCAUGGUUAAGUGGGAAACGAUGUGGGAAGGCCCAGACAGCCAGGAUGUUGGCUUAGAAGCAGCCAUCAUUUAAAGAAAGCGUAAUAGCUCACUGGUCGAGUCGGCCUGCGCGGAAGAUGUAACGGGGCUAAACCAUGCACCGAAGCUGCGGCAGCGACGCUUAUGCGUUGUUGGGUAGGGGAGCGUUCUGUAAGCCUGUGAAGGUGUACUGUGAGGUAUGCUGGAGGUAUCAGAAGUGCGAAUGCUGACAUAAGUAACGAUAAAGCGGGUGAAAAGCCCGCUCGCCGGAAGACCAAGGGUUCCUGUCCAACGUUAAUCGGGGCAGGGUGAGUCGACCCCUAAGGCGAGGCCGAAAGGCGUAGUCGAUGGGAAACAGGUUAAUAUUCCUGUACUUGGUGUUACUGCGAAGGGGGGACGGAGAAGGCUAUGUUGGCCGGGCGACGGUUGUCCCGGUUUAAGCGUGUAGGCUGGUUUUCCAGGCAAAUCCGGAAAAUCAAGGCUGAGGCGUGAUGACGAGGCACUACGGUGCUGAAGCAACAAAUGCCCUGCUUCCAGGAAAAGCCUCUAAGCAUCAGGUAACAUCAAAUCGUACCCCAAACCGACACAGGUGGUCAGGUAGAGAAUACCAAGGCGCUUGAGAGAACUCGGGUGAAGGAACUAGGCAAAAUGGUGCCGUAACUUCGGGAGAAGG